rnacentral:tRNA from 1 species
AGAAAAAUAAGUUAAUUUUUUAAACUACCUGGUUCAUACUCAGGAAAUACUGUUAGUUUUUUCUA